GGAGGAGUCUCGAGGAAGGUAUUUGUCAGACACAGUCAGUCCCAUCAGACCUGUCGAGAAAGCAGGACGCAGGAUUUCUGGAGUUGCCACAACAGUGAAACUAUUUGGCAUUCACCUUAUCACACAGAAUGGCACAACAAGGAAGCAAGUCAGUAAAAUUCCACUGUUCAGUCUGUCUGGAUCUACUGAAGGAUCCAGUCACUAUUCCCUGUGGACACAACUACUGUAUGAGCUGUAUUGAAGGACACUGGGAUAAAGAGGAACCAAAAGGAGCCUACAGCUGUCCUCAGUGCAAAAAGAGUUUUAUAUUGAGGCCUGAGCU